UGGGGGCAGAUGGCCGCGCAGUGCACCGAGGAACAGUCUCAAGUUUCAGAGGAAUCACCAUUCCAGACUGUUCAGCUUCCAGAGUGCCAUUCACAUAGGAGAUGAGGAGCAAAGUCAUGAGCUUACUACUGCGCCAUCUGCUUUCCCACCCUCCUAUCUCCACACUCUUGCACCUGAGGAUGCAGUUGCUCAUUCUGUUGUUAC
rnacentral:lncRNA from 1 species